GAUAUAUCGUCACAUAACACUUGUUGAAGAGUAUCUGCUAUAAUAUGGUAUGGAUAAGAAGUAUACUUAUUGGAUAUGGUAUGGGGAGGGUGAUCCGAAUGAAGUGGUGCACGAUAAUGACGAUACUGAAGAUGAUAGUGAUGCUGCUGGAUCUAUCAAACAUAAUGGUAUAAGAGAAUUAUUAGAUGAUUUACAUCAAGGUGCUUGUUCAAAUAUACGCAUGAGUACUACUGCAUCUGAAAGUAAUUUUGAUCAUAAACAUAAUAUCCGGC
rnacentral:lncRNA from 1 species